AUUGAACGCUGGCGGCAGGCCUAACACAUGCAAGUCGAGCGGCAGCGGAAAGUAGCUUGCUACUUUGCCGGCGAGCGGCGGACGGGUGAGUAAUGUCUGGGAAACUGCCUGAUGGAGGGGGAUAACUACUGGAAACGGUAGCUAAUAUCGCAUAACGUCGCAAGACCAAAGAGGGGGACCUUCGGGCCUCUUGCCAUCAGAUGUGCCCAGAUGGGAUUAGCUAGUAGGUGGGGUAACGGCUCACCUAGGCGACGAUCCCUAGCUGGUCUGAGAGGAUGACCAGCCAAACGGGAACUGAGACACGGUCCAGACUCCUACGGGAGGCAGCAGUGGGGAAUAUUGCACAAUGGGCGCAAGCCUGAUGCAGCCAUGCCGCGUGUAUGAAGAAGGCUUUCGGGUUGUAAAGUACUUUCAGCGGGGAGGAAGGUGUUGUGGUUAAUAACCACAGCAAUUGACGUUACCCGCAGAAGAAGCACCGGCUAACUCCGUGCCAGCAGCCGCCGUAA
rnacentral:rRNA from 1 species